GGGUAUGGAUUAGCUUGGACUGCAUUAGAACACAGCUCAGACCGACUCGGUCUCGAGCCAUUGCGCAGCGACGAGCUCCGAUCGCUCCUCCGUCGUCCGGCCGUCUCUCGGCGCAAGACCGGUGUCCACAGCUCCAUCUUGCCGUCCCCUACCUCACUAUGUUCUUGGAUUUUGAAGAGGAGCUCCGGCGAGAGAGAAUCGGAGGAGAGAAGGUGACUGCCUCUCCGAUCGGGUUUCUGAUUCCGGCGACGGCGACGAGCGUGAACGGUAUUGGUAGCUUCCUCUCAUCCUCAUGGUCCUCCCUAUGUCCUCAGUUUCUUCAGAAGAGGUCGGGAGAGAGAGAUUCGAAGUGGAGAAGGAGAGGCUGGGACCACCGGCGAGUUUCUGAUGCCGGCGAAGUCGAGGUCUCUCACUGGUAUGGAUAGCUUCAUCUCGAUCUCAGGAACCUUCCAUGUUCCUGUUUUUCGAAGAGAAGCUCGGAGGAGGGAGAAUCGAAGAGAAGAAGUUUUGGGAUUUUCCGGCGAGGGUUCGACGGAUUCCGGUGACUUCUGAGUUCGACUCAGGUAUCAAUCUUCAUCUUCUCGUCGAGUUCUACCUCUUUGUAUAAUUGAAAUCGUGUUUGGUUGAGAGAUGACGAAGUUGGAUUUUUGGUAGUGAGUGACCGCUGUGAGUGCCUCUGUGCACGGCGGAGGUGGUGGUGAUUUUGGGUUUUGGAGUAGCUCUUUUGAUGUUUAUAGAAGCUUCGGAACUUGAUUUCAUUGUUUGUUGUAAUUGAAUUUGAGUUUGGGUGUUUGUGGGAGAAGUUGGAAUUUAGGCAGAACUCGACUACAGUGUGUGGUGGCGUGCUGGCUUUGUCAGUUCAUCAUUGAUUUAGUUUGUUCAAGAAUAAGGGCUUGGCUGCUUGUUUCAUGAUUUGAAGACAGACGUUGAAAUAGAAGAAUGGAUUUGUUAAAGAGUUGGGCAGUAUGGCUAAUUACGUUGAUAGAAGCUAAUGUUUAAUUGUGAGUCUUGGACGUGUAUAUUAUGAUGGAAGAUGAAGUGGGAAUGCUGAUCAUGGUGAAGAUUAAGUUUCAUGUUUUGUCUUAUAUGAGUUGUGGUGAGUAAUGGAGCUAGUGGUGAUAUAUAAUCUAGAUCAAAAAGGGGGAAAUAUGAUGCUUGUGCUUAUGAGAAUGUGAGUAAGUGAAAUUACUUUGGAGAUUGAUUUCGUACUGGGAGAACAAUAACUUUAACUAUGAUGAGGAUUUGGACAAAUUGACCUUUAUGAUUUAGAGUGAUUUGCCGACUAUGGGAACAAAGAUUCAGUAUGAGGAUUGAGUACGAGUUGCAAGAUUCUAGAAGCAGAAGGAUAAGGAUUUCAGAAGUGUGUUGCAGUGUUACUAACUUUAGCGUCAGAAUCAAAGCUUGGAUUCCAGGUAGGGUCUUUCUCGGGGAACCUUUCUUUAAAUUGAUAAUUAGGUUAUUAUCGAAAUCCGUACAUUGUGUGGCAUUGGUUGAUAUAACUCUUGAAUGUUAUUGUUUUCGAUAUUAUUGAUAUCGUUGACUUAAAUGAUCGAUGUUAUCGUUUAUCAGAAAAGCAUGUAUUGAAUGUUAUGAUAUGAGUAUUGAUAUUCAUUGGCAUAUAUUAUGCAUUGUGAGGAAACGUGAAAAUAGUAAAAAUGGUGAUUCUGGAGAGGAGAAUGAGAUUGAUAGAAUAGAUACAUUUUGUGUAGUUGAGUUUCCUCAUGGGUUGUCCUUGGGAUCUAUGAUUAGCCCACACGUGCACAAAUUCAGGGGAUGUAUGCCCUAUCGAUGGCAGACAUCGAUAAAACGAUCUUUAUCGGGUUGCGGAUCGGGAGACCAUGAGUAUAACAAGACGACUAACAAAAGAGGUACAAGUGGUGAGAUAUUACUGAUUUGUUAGGUCGUAUAUUGGAGACAUCUACACGCUAUGGGACGUUUUUGCUCAUAUGUCUUUGAUGUAUGGACUAAUAAGCCAGUAAUCGAGUUGAGGAAGUUCAUUUGCAUAUAUGCAUUGAAUUGUCAUUAUUUAUAUUUAAAGAAUUGUUUGUUAUUUGAUAACUUGAUUGUGCGACGUAGUUAAGUAUAACUUAAAAAGGUUUGGCCCUACUGAGCGUAAGCUCAUCCUUAUAGAAUUUUGUUCAGGUAUGCCACGUUUUUUGAGAAGCCUAGUUUAGCUGACGUGUACAAGAGAGCCAAUAAGGAUUACGGAAGACUAGAAGUGAGAUAAAACGCCAGACCUGUUUGUUUUGUCUUUGUAAUUAUUUUUGUUAUUGUAAACGUUUUAUUUUCUUUUAUUUCUGGAAAAGUAUUUGAAAUUGUAUUAUUUUCUUUUACUUUUCUCGCUCACACCUCGGAUCCGACGUCAGGUGCUUGGAAACCACCGACACCGGGUCAGGGGUGUGACAGGAAUAGUGAGAAAUUAUGAGAAUGGAGAUUAUGGAGAGGAGAAUGAGAUUAUUAGAACAGAUACAUUUUGUGUAGUUGAGUUUCCUCAUGGUUUGUCCUCGGGAUCUAUGAUUAGCUCACACGUGCACAAAUAUAGGGAAAGUAUGCCCUGUCGAUGGCGGACAUCGAUAAAACGAUCUUAUCGGGUUGCGGAUCGGGAGACCAUGAGUAUAACAAGACGACUAACAAAAGAAG
rnacentral:lncRNA from 1 species